rnacentral:rRNA from 1 species
GAUGAACGCUGGCGGCGUGCUUAACACAUGCAAGUCGAACGGAAAGGCCCAAGCUUGCUUGGGUACUCGAGUGGCGAACGGGUGAGUAACACGUGGGUGAUCUGCCCUGCACUUCGGGAUAAGCCUGGGAAACUGGGUCUAAUACCGGAUAGGACCACAUUUUGGAUGGUGUGGUGGAAAGUUUUUCGGUGUGGGAUGAGCUCGCGGCCUAUCAGCUUGUUGGUGGGGUAAUGGCCUACCAAGGCGUCGACGGGUAGCCGGCCUGAGAGGGUGUACGGCCACAUCGGGACUGAGAUACGGCCCAAACUCCUACGGGAGGCAGAAGUGGGGAAUAUUGCACAAUGGGCGCAAGCCUGAUGCAGCGACGCCGCGUGGGGGAUGACGGCCUUCGGGUUGUAAACUCCUUUCGCUAGGGACGAAGCGCAAGUGACGGUACCUGGAGAAGAAGCACCGGCUAACUACGUG